UUCUCUUUGUGUUUUGAAGGCCGGGUGUUUCCUCUGCAUUGGUCUUCACAUACAAUGCUGCUAUUUGCCCACCUUACAGGGUUAUUGUGGACACCAAUUUCAUUAACUUCUCUAUCCAAAAUAAGUUGGAUUUGGAGAAAGGCAUGAUGGAUUGCCUCUAUGCUAAAUGCACUCCAUGCAUCACAGAUUGUGUUAUGGCUGAGCUUGAAAAGUUGGGACAGAAGUAUCGUGUGGCUUUAAGGAUUGCCAAAGAUCCUAGAUUUGAUAGGUUACCAUGUACACAUAAAGGGACUUAUGCUGAUGAUUGCAUCGUUGACAGGGUUACUCAGCACAAAUGCUAUAUUGUUGCAACAUGCGAUAGAGACUUGAAGCGAAGGAUACGCAAGAUUCCCGGAGUGCCUAUCAUGUACAUUACCAGACACAGGUAUUCGAUAGAGAAACUACCUGAAGCAACUAUUGGCGGAGCACCGCGGUAUUGAACAACUUCUUUCAGUACAUGGAGCUUCUUCCUGAGUCAGAUAAUUUUAUGCAUUCUCCAUUACGAAUAAACAGAGCCAACCUGUGAGUCUUUGGGUUGUUUGUAGCUAGUAAAGCCUUGAAGGCGUUCAUGUAUCAACUUAUAGUUAAUCGAAAUGUCUGACACUAAGCUAUGUGGAGAUUAGGAAAAACAAUGGUGAUUACCACUGAAACUGAACUAAGCUUAUUAAUUAUGUGGGUUAUGAUUAUGAAAGUGUUUCAGAAUUGGAUUGAAUCGUUUGGUUGUAGCGUCUGUCUCAAGACAUGAAAGCCAAUUUGUUUCAUUUUAAAAUUGGAGUUUCCCCAUCAUUUCCAAUUUGAAUGUUUCUUGGGGUUUACUAUGGUGGUACCCAGCCAUGGUCCAAUAGCUUAAAGGGCCAUUGUCGACUUAGCUUGGAAAGAUUGCAUCAGACUGGAAAGGUUGCAUCAGACUCUGACACCUAGCCAACUACACUAAGUGAGCUUGGUAGCUUGUUAUGAUAAUAAUGGCCAUAGUCCAACAGCUUAAGGUUCAUUUUCGACUCCGAGUUCGGUUGCAUCCAACUUUUGAAACUCUAUUGAUUAAACAUCUUCAGUUAAUUACGAUUAGGUGUAUUGUUUUUAAUGGAUGGUGGAUCUAAUAAUACUGGAUUGAUGGGCUAUUAGAUGUGAGUAUUUUCUAAUUUAGUUAGAUAGCUGAUGAAAAGUUUUUGUAGGGUGGGACUGGUCACUCAUAUGAUUAAUCGACAUAAGUUGAAUAUUUGAUGCCAACUAAAUAAAAAAAGGUAAUCAAUCAAAGGACAUGUUCUUGAGCUCCUGGGUUAUAGUGUAAUGGCAGAACAUUUAUGCAGUCUCCCAAGUAUUCACGGUUCAAUUUCUAGUUACGAUGCAUUAUAGGAUAUUUCCUUUCAGUGAGAUGAAAAAUCUAGGAUGUUGGGUUGUUCGCUACUUGCACUUUUGGAUUUAUUUUAGUGACAGGUGAAAAAUUUUUAUAGGGCAAGAUCGAUUACCAUUGGAUUUAUUUUAGUGACAGGUGAAAAACUUUUAUAGGGCAAGAUCGAUUACUAGUAGAAUUAGUUGAUUCAAAUUGGUUGGGUAUCUUAUGUUCUCCAACAUUGAUGAUGGAAUAAACAUGGUUGAUCCUGUCUGAGAGCUGGAGAGAUGGCGGCUGGUUUCGGUGAUUGAUUUUUUGAUCAGCGGAAGACCUCUCGAUCCAGGAUGACGAAACUCCUCAACGCUCUUGCAUAUACUUCGAUGAUCCGAUAAAGCGUUAGUGACCAAAGCCUGAGGUGGAGAUCCUUGGCAAGACUCUCCAAUGCUCAAAUCAAUACAAUUCCGGUGGAAAAGGAAGAAGAAACAGUAGUGGGAAGGUUCGUGCGAAAGUAGAGUUACAGAUGCAGAGUUUACUUACUUUAUCAAUGGAGAAGAUCCCCCUUUUAUACCACCUCACAUGCCUCCGUGAUCAUGAGGUGGUCCCCGGUGUCUCAGAGUUUGUUAGGUGAUAGAGAAAGUACAUCAUGGGCAAUGUGCAAUAAUUGUUCGAGGAAUCUUUCUUCUACCCAUUGAUAUACCACUUUUGUCGCUUAUGUCUUACGCCUUUGUUGAGGCAGUUACGAGAAUAUGUUGUUAUGCUUAGCUGGCUUCUGAGGGACAUAACAACCUUCGAAGAAGGUUUCGAGGGAAUAUUCCCGACAAGUUCUGAUAAUCUGUUAUAAUGCUGUCGGAUGUUGUCUGCUGAGUAUAUCCCGACCGAUCCUUAAGGUUGGCCAUAUUCAAGUCUGUCCUUCCCUUAAGUUGCUUUAUUAUGUAUUGAGUGUUGUCGGGAAUCUGCUCAAGAACUAAUAUGAUGCAUAGAGUAUACUAGUAAUUCAUUCAAGGAGCUGUCUAACUAAUCAUUUAUGUUAAAGAACCAAUAUAAUGCUAAGUGCCCUUAUGCCCGGUCGGACCCUUGCUCGACUGAGCGCACACACAGAACCUUAUGUUUGACCUGUCUCUAUCCAACUGUUUGUAUAUUAAGAGCUUUAUAAAACUAUGUGCCCUUGAGCCCGGUUGGGCCCUUGCCCGACUGAGCGCACACACAAAACCUUAUGCUUGACCUGUCUCUAUCCAGCUGAUCGUAUAUUAAGAGCUUUAUAAGGCUAAGUUUCCUUAAACUUAGCUGGAUCCUUACCCGACUGAGCACACACACAGAACCUUAUGUUUGACCUGUCUCUGUCUAGCUUAUCGUAUAUUAAGAGCUUUAUAAGGCUAAGUGCCCUUAAGUCCGAUCGAGCCCUUGCCUGACUGAGCGCACACAGAAUCUUAUGCUCGACCUGUCUGUCUCUAUCCAGUUGAUUGUAUAUUAAGAGCUUUAUAAGACUAAGUGCCCUUAAGCCCUGUCGGGCCCUUGCCCGACUGAGCGCACACACAGAACCUUAUACUUGACUUAUCUCUAUCUAGCUGAUCGUAUAUUAAGAGCAUUAUAAGGCUAAGUGCCCUUAAGCCCGAUCGGGCCCUUGUCUGACUGAGCGCACACACAGAACCUUAUGCUUGACUUGUCUCUAUCCAGCUGAUCAUAUAUUAAGAGCUUUAUAAGGCUAAGUGUCCUUAAAUCCGGUCGGGCCCUUACUUGACUGAGCGCAUACACAAAACCUUAUGUUUGACUUGUCUCUAUCUAGCUGAUCGUAUAUUAAGAGCUUUAUAAGGCUUAAGUGCCUUUAGGCCCGACCAAACCUUGUUCUGUCGGGUCCAUGCAGAAAGGCUUAUCACUUGGUGAUUAAAGUAACCAGAUAAGGGAUAACCCUUACCCUACCACUAACUGUCAUCCUAUCAUGACUUUGACCAUCACGUCACUUUGACCUGGACGACCACAUCACUCUCGGGGUCCGCUUGCUAUAACUCGUAUCACUAGCCUCCCCUUCAAAUUUAGUCGAAGGAGGUGUAGCCAACUGACUAGACUCAAAUCUUAGUCUCGUUUGCUCACCUAUCGUGGCCAAUAUUUUCUUUGAAUUUUGACUAGCCCAACUAUCCUUGCACCCUAGGCCUUUUUGAAUAAUAAAAUAUCAACUUCUAUUUUCUAUCUUAACCGAUUAAACUUGAAACCUUCUCCUUCAAGUCUAGUCGAAGGAGGUGUAACCAGCUGACUAGACUCAAAUAUUAGUCUCGUUUGCUCACCUCUUGUGGCCAAUAUUUUUUUUGAAUUUUGACUGAUCCAACUAUCCUUGCACCCUAGGCCUUUUUGAAUAAUAAAAUAUCAACUUCUAUUUUCUAUCUUAACUGAUUAAACUUGAAUUCUGGUUUCGUCGAGUACUUAACAAUUUUCAAAUUUGCGCGUUGGUAUUUGGUCCUUCCCCAAAGAGAGAGAGAGAGAUGAAGAUGUGAUGAGGGAUGAUGCUUUGACAUCGAAAUGAUUUGGCUUGUCUCAUCCAUCAUAAAUGCCCAUUUAUGGGUGAAUGUCACGUGACACUAUUUCUCUCUCUUUGAAAUGAUUUUUGACGUAUGCUUCUACGUGCGCCUAAACGGCACCUCUCCCUUUAUGGAUCAAUAAUCCUCUAAGCGUAAGCCGUUUUGAUCCAAGGGUGCAUACUAUUGGAUUAAUCCUUAUAAAAAAAAAAUCCUAAACAAUCUUCAGACUUGACAUUUCAUCUUUUAUGAUUUGUUCUUCGGUGAUUUUUCUUUUCUGUAACACUCCGCGUUUCCUUGUUCUCACGGAACUUUUCUUACCGUCUUCUUCUCUUAGGGUUCCAGUAAGUCAUUCAUCUUUUAACUAUUUUUGUGUGUCCUUAUGGCGGAAGUAUCAUUAGCUCCUUAUUACACUCAUUUUCUCUUAGAUUUUGAUAACUCCGACAGAGCUGCCAUACGCCUUCGAUACGAAAUUCCUAAGGAUUACCGUAUCGUCAUUCCCAAACCAAACGAGCAUCCUUAUCAUCCUCUUGCUAAUCACAUUACUUUCUUCAAGUACCAGCUAAUAGCCGGUUUGCGCUUUCCUAUCCUGUCUUUCAUGGUGGAAGUAAGUCAAUAUUUUAACAUUCCCCUACAACAGUUCACCCCCAACGCCUUUCGCUAUCUAUGCGGGUUGUUCAUGCUAUUUCGCCCGUUCGAGAUUCCUCCAACACCUCUCAACCUUUUCUUUUUUUUCUUAUCCUAAGAAGUCAGACUUUGGCAUUUUUCUCUUUCAAUCUCGCCCUCAAAUGAUCCUAUUCGAGGAUAUGUCAUCUUCGAAUAAGGAUUGGAAAUCUCAUUUUUCCUUCUUAGAAUUACCUAAACCUGCCACUUGGUCAAUAGAAUGGCAGUCCUCUUUCUCUCAUCUUCCUGACUUUAAGAAGCUCAAACAAGAUCCUACAUUUCUUGACUAUUCUAAUAGGUUGAGUCUUCAUAUUCAUAAGUGGAUGCGCGAAGAUCUCCUAUAUUUGUUUGGCUUAAGCCCCAUUCAAAAGAGGCUAUCUUGUUCCUUCGGAGAGUUGCUCUAACUUGUCCACUAUCCUAUUACUAACUAAAGUAUUUUUCAUUUUAUGCAAUGGAUGCCUAUUUUGAUGCAUUGGUAGACAAGGUAAUUGGUCGAGUAGAAGAAGGAAAACUUCUUGCUAAAGAGCAAGAGCUAUUAACUGAACGGGGCUUACAACCAACUGCCUCAUUCGGUGAAGCUUCUAGUGGUCAAGCAACCGCAUUUAAUGCGGCCGCUGCUUCUGAGGAAUUGCCCUCUAAUUUACCUAUCCUGCUUGAGGAUAUUCCUCUGGAAGAGACUGCCCCUAAGAGAAAACGUAAAGGACGUAAACUUACUUUGGCUCCUUCUCUCAAGAGACAAACACUAUCUGCUCCAGAUGAUUCUGCCCAGGGGGGGAUACGAGAGCAACCCCUCGAACCAACUUUGUUGGCUCUUUAUCCUGCCCUCUCAAUUCCCGUCUGUAUUCCAACUCACGAGGAUAUUUCUAUGCCAAGUGCUAUUUCCGACCCUAGCUUUCUUAUGUCUUUUUGGGGAAAACUCCCCUUACCUACACAAAAACCGUCUGACCAGCCCUUCCCCAUUUUUUCCUUACCAUCUGUGCAAUUUUCCCUUUCUUCUUCAUCCACUUCCUCUGCUACUAUGCCUAUAUUAAUAGGGGAUCCUUUAAUAGAUGCUUGGGAAGAGGCACAGAAUAAGUUUAGCGAGCGGAUCUCUAUAGAAUUUGCAGACAGAUUUUCAUAUGAGCGAACCAAGCAAUGGGUAAUGGAUAUGAGCGUAGCUCGACAGUUAUAUGAUUUGGCUCAGGAAAACGAGUUGCUGAAACAACAAAUUCCUGAGGUAACUUCUGCCUCUACUCUUAAACAGAUAAAGGAUCUAGAAACUCAACUUCAAGAGGCUCAUAAGUUGGCCCAAGUUGAGCUCGAGAAAGCCAAUCAGUGGAAGACGGCCACAGAAAGUUUCGAAGCUCAACUCAAAUCAGAAACUAGUAUUCGGUUAGAUACCGAGACAAAAUUGAAUGAGCGAACUACUGAAUCUGUGUAGCUGUCCACUCAAUUACAAGAACUGAUGGUUGCUCAUGCCACCGAGCUAGCUGCUAGAGAAUCUGAGCGAAUAGCUCAGAAGGCUGAACAAAAUUCUCUAUUGGAGGAAACUCGAAAGGAAGUAUCAACAGUUUAAGCAGAAUUGGUAACCUACCAGGCGAGGGAGGAUAAACGAUUUGAGAAGAAGAAAACAACACUCCUCAAAUCAGACGAAAUCAGCACUCCCAUUGCUGAAUCCGCCGUUAAUGCCCUUACUCUUGGAGCUAAGGGGAUAAUAGAACGGUUAAGGGAGGGAGGUUACCUAGCAUUCGAACCUCCUGAUGGCUUUAUUGAUCAUUGGAGGCUAUUAAAAAAUUGUCCUCCCAACUUUUCCCCCAAAUUAAUAUAGUUUACUGCAUCUUCAUUUUUCAAUUGCAUUGUUUAAAGAACUUCUUAGCAAUUCUUAUAUUAAGACUUCUGUGUCGGCUUAUAUCUUGUUUCUGUCGAGCGAGAAUUUAGUUGGGAAAGUAAGACAUAAUCAAUUUUCGUUAGACUGUGUUCAACCUAACACUCGUUCAACCCUUAUUGAUUGGACGGAUUUACAUUCGUCUAGGUCUAUUUUCGUUCACCCAACCCUUUGUGACUGAAUGACUUAACCUUUGUUCAGGUCUAUUUCCGUUUGUCUGAUGACCCCUGGUGUUCGACCAGCAUAAAAACUUGUUUACAUUUUAGGAUGGGGCACACCAUAACUUCUAUUUACUGUUUAAAUAAAGGCUUCCCAUAUUGAUCAACGCUACGUCUCCUUGCCAUUAACUUGGCUCAGAAUUCAAAACCUUUUUUGGUAAUCACGCUGAUGCUUUGAGAUACCAACCCUUACAUCCGUUACUUGUAUACUUCCUUUAUUAGUGACAUGUGCGAACAUGAUGUCAUAAAUGUACACGAUUCCCCAUACCCGCCAUCUCACUCAACCAUCCCACGAUCCACAAUUAAUCCUGCUUCUUCCUCACUUACAAUCUGACGGCUUUACUUGAAAUGCACUUUCACAGAGUUCGUAUAAAAGUUCUGUGAAAAAAGGGGAGAAAACCCUAAGGCUUUCUUGUUGUCUUCUCCUUUAUUAUCCCUUCUUCCAUUUACUUCUCUGUUCUAUUAAUCCUUUUCCCCCUAACAUGGCUGAGGGUGAUGAGUGGAAUAGUUGAUGUUCCUCCCACUUAACUGUUGAGGACACUUAUGAACUCAAAUUCAACUAUGGCGUUCCUCUCGACAUAGUCAUUCCUACCGAAAAGGAUCGUCCUCAUCGCCCUCUACUCGAGAGCGUUGCUGUCUUCAGAGAGCAAGUUAUUUCUGGCCUUCGUUUUCCUUUACAUCAUUUCUUUAUUGCCGUGAGCCGGUAUUUUGGUAUUCCCCUACAUCAACUCCUUCCCCAAUCUCUUCAAAUCCUAAGUGGUGUCACUAUUGUCUUUCGUUUGCUCAAUAUCCCUUUAUCCCCUCGUCUCUUCCAUUAUUACUUCCUCGCCAGGUAGAGACUGGCUUAUUCAAAUUUUAAGCUCGCCCUAAAGUGAUUUUGUUUAAUAAAGUUCCAGCUCAGGAGGAAUGGAGGGAUAAAUAUUUUUUUAUUCGUCUUCUUCCUUCUUCGUCUUACCCCACUAUUUGGCUACAACAACUUCCCACUAUUCCUACUCUAGGCAAUCUUCACACGGACCUGACCUUAGGUCCCGUUCUAGAGUAUAUGAUAUGUCUAAAGUUUAGUCUGUCCCAGUUGACCGUAGAGGGCUUAUUAUAUCUUUUCGGACUUGCUCCGAUACCUAUUGAGUUAAGUGCCUCUUUCAGUAAGAAAUCUUGACAUCUAUCUUAGCUAUUCGUUAUAAGAACUUAUGAUGUUUCCUUAUUUUCAUAGCUAAAGCUAUUAGCAUGGCCUUCCUUUUCAAAAAGCCUCAGAUAACGAAAGAGACCUUAACCAGGAUACGUGAGGAUUUACGAAAGGAGUGCUAGCUCGCACAACUGUCCACCUCCACCGGUCCACCCCCAUGGUGGAACCUAUUUCUAAUUCCUCCUCAGAUUCAGAUGAUGUUCCCUUGAUCAGACGCACGAGGUCCCAGUUCACAACCCUAGGGUGUCAGAAUCUACCCCCAAAGAACAAACUCAUAUUACUAAGACUGAGGAUCUAUUCGUUUGAGGGAAAGAGCCUGCACCACUGGAACAUCGUCGGUAUAAUCUUCAACUUGCUAUGAUGUGACCAGGUAAAUUGAUCUCUACAUGUUACAAGGCCACACAAGCUUCCAAACCAAUCGGGAUGGUUAUAGAGGCAGUCAGGGCUUCAUCAGAACUAAUCAGGACAACUCCUAGAUCUCCUGUUCUAGGAGCAUUAGAUCUGAAUUUGCUCGAGCUUCCUUCCUCGACACAGAUUUCCCUUGGUGUAUCUGACAUCUCUGCUAUUCGGGUGACCAAAUCUGGACCGACGAAGCGUCCGCGGUCUCUCCUAGGGCCACCUAAAAAGAAGUUGGCCGGUACUAUUCCUCGUGUUGGAGGCUUUGUCCGAUCCCCUGAAUUAUUCCAGACAAUCCCUGAGCAUUCUCUUAUUAUUUCCCCAAGCUCCACUCCGUCAGGAUCCACUCCUUCAGGUGGUCCCUGACAUCUUUUUUGGUAAUCUUAUAUGUUACCUUCUCAACAAGGACCGGAAAUGACUGAUUCCUAAUCUUUCGAGACAAUUAAUGUAAGAGGUUCAUUGGCGGAUUGUUGGAUGCAAACUUACAGGCGCUCAAGAGGGGCUACCAUAUCUGAACGUGCUGAUGAGCAUGCUCAACACAUUUUUGCGUUUUGCGUUUCUGGAAUGCAAAUAAACCAGUUGGCCGUGGAUCUGGAGCGAGGCAACAAAGUUUUGAAGGAUUGCGAACAAGAGCUAGAAGUCGCUUUUACCGCUCCAAGUGCUGAAAUAACCCUCUUACGAGAAGAGGAUACAACUCAAACUGAGCUUCUUUUGGGUAUGGAAAAGAUCCUACAAGAGUAUCAGCAACUGACGAAGUCCCACCAAAUAGCUAAACAGAAAGUUAGAGCUUCUACUACAAACCAGCGAGUCCAAACUUCAAGUGGAAAGUGCCUUAAAAGAUAAAGCCUCUCCGACCUAGCUCACAAAACUACUCAACUAGAAGAGCUAUGCUUAUCCCUUGGGUCCAGAUAUCCUGAAUUAAUUCAAGAGAUAGCCGCUAAGAACUUUUUGCUAUUGAACCAACAGGAAAAACUGAGAGCCCGAGACGCAUAGCUGGCAUCCUUAUUAACUGAGUUAGAGGGUGUAAAAAUUGAUCAGGAUAAUAUCAAGGUUGAGCGAGACACUAUCCAAGCUGAGCGAGAUGCUAUUCACUCUGAGUUACAAGCAUAUAAAGAGGGGGAAGAUGAACGUCAUGAAGUUGCACGAAGAGCCUAUCUAGACUCUCCUAAAUUUGGUAAAGUAUUUGCCACUCGCAUUAUGAGGACUUUUACCCAAACAACUGGAGGGGUUAUUCAACAACUGCGAGAGGGUGGCCAUCUAUCAUCAGAAUCCCCUCAGCCUUCUAUAGAUCUUCGACGCCUCCAUAGAGAAAUCACAAAAGAUCUCUUAAGUAAGUUUGAUUGACUAUGUUGCAUUCUUAUAUUUUCUAGUUGUAACAAACUGAAAUAUAUUAUCUAAGAACAUUCAGAACAGUAAUUAAUUGG